AGCAGCCGCGGUAAUUCCAGCUCCAAUAGCGUAUAUUAAAGUUGUUGCAGUUAAAAAGCUCGUAGUUGAAUUUCGGGAUCAGUACGCUGGUCAUGCCUUUGGUAUGCACUGGUGUCACUGGUCUCUCCCUUCUGAAGAUCCGUUAUGUCAUUAAUUUGGUGUCGCGGGGAAUCAGGACUGUUACUUUGAAAAAUUAGAGUGUUUAAAGCAGGCUCACGCUUGAAUACAUUAGCAUGGAAUAAUGAAAUAGGACGUUUGACCCUAUUUUGUUGGUUUCUAGGAUCGACGUAAUGAUUAAUAGGGAUAGUUGGGGGCAUUAGUAUUCAAUUGUCAGAGGUGAAAUUCUUGGAUUUAUUGAAGACUAACUA
rnacentral:rRNA from 1 species